rnacentral:rRNA from 1 species
UCUGGUGUCCCAGGCGUACAGGAACCACACCAACCCAUCCCGAACUUGGUGGUUAAACUCUACUGCGGUGACGAUACUAUAGAGGAAGCCCUGCGGGAAAAUAGCUCGGUGCCAGGA